AAUGUGUUUAGCCGGGGCCUGAACAUCAAUCUACACAUAUCUAUACUUGUAAUGCAUUUGUAAACAAGUUCGUACCCUAAAUAUGUUCCUCUCCUAAACAUGUCGAGGAAAGUGUUUAACCCUAUAUGUAUUUAACCUGACCACAUGUUAAAGAUAAACAUGUUUGGUACUGCCUCUUAUAAAAAAGUGAAACAUUCUCAGUAAAUCACAUCAGAACUUAGAUCAGACUAAAACCUCACUUAAACUGAAUAUAUUUGUUUUUUGUAGAACAGGAGUUUAGUAUCCCAUAAAACAUAAAUCAUUAUAUAGAGACCUAGGCAGCAAAGAUAGUCAUUAGAAUCUUUUUGCAUUUGCCUGUGUUCUAUCCUUUUAAAAACCUUGCGGUGAGGCAUGGUUUCUGACAUCAGAAAAAAAAGUGAAGUAUAGGCCACUGGACGUUAAGCAACCAAGUAUUAAACCUCACCUUUCCGUGAAGUGUUUACAAUUAUUUGUAUUUUUAAAAUAAAAAAAAAAGGAUAAACAUUUCCAAAAACUGAAAAUAUUUGAGAAGACGCUAUUACCUUAGAAGUAAAAAAUUUACCAGACAGAAUAAACACGGCAGAAACAAACAAACGAAAAAAAACCAAGAGAACAAUUUGAAAUACCAUAUAUACAUGUUAAAAUCGGUAUAUACAAGCGGAUUAUAAACGGGACAGGGUUGAGCGAAC
rnacentral:lncRNA from 1 species